rnacentral:rRNA from 1 species
AUUGAACGCUGGCGGCAGGCCUAACACAUGCCAGUCGAGCGGAUGAAGGGAGCUUGCUCCUGGAUUCAGCGGCGGACGGGUGAGUAAUGCCUAGGAAUCUGCCUGGUAGUGGGGGAUAACGUCCGGAAACGGGCGCUAAUACCGCAUACGUCCUGAGGGAUAAAGUGGGGGAUCUUCGGACCUCACGCUAUCAGAUGAGCCUAGGUCGGAUUAGCUAGUUGGUGGGGUAAAGGCCUACCAAGGCGACGAUCCGUAACUGGUCUGAGAGGAUGAUCAGUCACACUGGAACUGAGACACGGUCCAGACUCCUACGGGAGGCAGCAGUGGGGAAUAUUGGACAAUGGGCGAAAGCCUGAUCCAGCCAUGCCGCGUGUGUGAAGAAGGUCUUCGGAUUGUAAAGCACUUUAAGUUGGGAGGAAGGGCAGUAAGUUAAUACCUUGCUGUUUUGACGUUACCAACAGAAUAAGCACCGGCUAACUUCGUG